UCCGUAGGCGGUGCGGCAAGUCGGAAGUGAAAUCUCUGGGCUUAACCCAGAGGCUGCUUCCGAAACUGCCGUGCUAGAGUGCGAGAGAGGCGAGUGGAAUUGUUCGGGCGUAGCGGUGAAAUGCGUAGAUAUCCGCAGGAACAUCCGAGGCGAAGGCGGCUCGCUGGAUCGCAACUGACGCUGAGGGACGAAAGCUAGGGGAGCAAACAGGAUUAGAUACCCUGGUAGUCCUAGCCCUAAACCAUCAGGACUUGGGGUUUGCCCUGUACGGGGCAAGUCCCGUAGCUAACGCGUUAAGUCCUGCGCCUGGGGAGUACGGUCGCAAGGCUGAA
rnacentral:rRNA from 1 species